GUGGGGAAUAUUGCACAAUGGGGGAAACCCUGAUGCAGCAACGCCGCGUGAAGGAAGAAGUAUUUCGGUAUGUAAACUUCUAUCAGCAGGGAAGAAAAUGACGGUACCUGACUAAGAAGCCCCGGCUAACUACGUGCCAGCAGCCGCGGUAAUACGUAGGGGGCAAGCGUUAUCCGGAUUUACUGGGUGUAAAGGGAGCGUAGGUGGUAUGGCAAGUCAGAUGUGAAAGCCCGGGGCUCAACCCCGGGACUGCAUUUGAAACUGUCAGACUAGAGUGCAGGAGAGGUAAGUGGAAUUCCUAGUGUAGCGGUGAAAUGCGUAGAUAUUAGGAGGAACACCAGUGGCGAAGGCGGCUUACUGGACUGUAACUGACACUGAGGCUCGAAAGCGUGGGGAGCAAACAGGAUUAGAAACCCUGGUAGUCC
rnacentral:rRNA from 1 species